GCGGAACCAAUGUGCGGCUGCAGGUUGGUUACCGGCAGCAUAAAAUGGGACACACGCAGCACUGAGAGGGAAGGAGAAUGAAUGACCUCGCUCAAACAAAGUGGCUGUGAGCACAAGGAUUUGCGGCAAACUGACUGUGCAGGACCUGCUUCAUCUACGGAAAUCCGGGUGGCGGCCGGUUUUUCACCUAAACCUAUCAACCAACCCUAUCGACUAAACCUUUCAACCAAACCUAUCACCUAAGUUGCCAUCGUUGUAUUCUAUGACCUUGGAACUAUUGCAAAAUAAAAGAGGAGGAAAAGAAAGCAACUGUCUGACUCAUGAGUGGAGCCCAGCUCAUAACCCGAGUAGAUGAACAUCCUUUUUCAAUCACCGACAGUAAUCUGAGUAUAAGGAGGAAGUAAUUGGAUUACUGACCCCUGGUAGCGGUGGAGGAGGAGCUGGAGGAGGAGGUGGUGGUGGUGGAGGAGGAGUUGGAGGAGGAGGAGGUGGUGGUGGUGGUGGAGGAGGAGCUGGAAGCCGUGGUGGAGGCCGGAACCAGAGCCUCCAUGUCGGCCGCACUGUGGGAGUGGGACAGGCAGAGGGCGCUCAUCGGCAGGAGACCCUCCUGGAGACACAACAGACACCAGCCGGGUCGGUCCGCUGGUCGCUCCACCAGCUCCACCGUCUGACCACAGCGAACACUGAGUUCUCCUGGACCUCCAGAUGAGAAAUCCAACAGAACCACGACCAACUCACAGCCUCCAGACAGCUGCAACACAGAGGAGGCACAGCUGAGAUAUACGGCUGAGAUAUACGGCUGAGAUAUAGAGGUGAGAUAUACAGCUGAGAUAUAUAACUGAGAUAUAUAACUGACAUAUACAGGUAACAUUCGGCUGAGAUAUACAGCUGAGAUAUAGAGGUGAGAUAUACAGCUGAGAUAUACAGCUGAGAUGUACAGCUGAGAUAUACAGCUGAGAUAUAUAACUGACAUAUACAGGUAACAUUCGGCUGAGAUAUACAGCUGAGAUAUAGAGGUGAGAUAUACAGCUGAGAUAUACAGCUGAGAUGUACAGCUGAGAUAUACAGCUGAGAUAUAUAACUGACAUAUACAGGUAACAUUCGGCUGAGAUAUACAGCUGAGAUAUAGAGGUGAGAUAUACAGCUGAGAUAUACAGCUGAGAUAUACAGCUGAGAUAUAGAGGUGAGCUAUAUAACUGACAUAUGCAGGUAACAUACGGCUGAGAUAUACAGCUGAGAUAUACAGCUGAGAUAUAGAGGUGAGAUAUACAGCUGAGAUAUAUAACUGACAUAUACAGAUAACAUUCGGCUGAGAUAUAUACAGGUAACAUACAGGUAAUGUACAGGGGAAUUUUCCAUGUUAUGUGUUUAUAUUAAAAUAAUAUUAAAAUGAAAUUUUAAAUUUUUUUAAUAAACUUUUCUUCAAAUUUCAUUUCAUUUUAAUUUUUUUAAAUAUUCCACGAUAAGUUUUUCUGGCAUUUUAUUUAUAUAUUUUUUACAUUUUCUAAAACAGCUUCCAGACAUUUUAUUAUUGAAAAAAAGUGUUGAACAGUUAUUAAUUUUUUUACACACUUUCUUAAUAUUUUUCUGCCAUUUUUAAAAGUAAUUUUUCCAUAUUUUUAUUAGUAUUUUUCAAACAUUCUAUUAGUAUUUUUCUAAACUUUUAUGAACAUUUUUCUCGGAUUAUAUUUUUAGUAUUAUUUUUUUUAUAUUUCUCUGAUGUUUUGAGAAUUUUUAAAUUAUAUUUACUAUAAAUUUUCAGUAUUUUAUUCAUACUCUUCUGAUAUUUUACUAAUAUUUUGUUUCCAUUUUAUUAAUAUUUCUGAGACGUUUUGACAUUUUUAUCACAUUUUACAAAUAUUUUUAGUGCAUUUUAUGAAAAUAUUUCUGAUAUUAUAUUUACAUUUUUCAGAUAUUUUAUUGAUGCAUACUAAUUAUACUAUUAUAUAAUAUUUCUAUGACAUUUUCUAAAUAUUUUUAAGACAUUUUAAACAGAUAAAUAUUCAUUACAUUUUACUAGAAUUUCUUCAGGAAUUUUAUUAAUAACUUUUCUAUUAAAUUUUUCAUAUAUUUUUUCUAACAUUUUAUUAAUAUUUCUUGCAUAUUUUUUGCCUAUAUUCACUGAUAUUUUGUUUAAAUUUUUUAGACACAAUGGUAUUUUUAUGACAUUUUCGUUGUACAUUUUUAGACAUUUGAAUAAUAUUGUUAUGACAUUUGACUAUUAUUUAGGCAUUUUAACAACAUUUUUCUGAGAUUUUGUCCUUUUAAUUUUAGAAUUAUUAUUUCCAAAACCAACACUUCUUCUUUAAAAUAAAUAAUGAAGAAAAUGUGACAUGUUUUGUGGGUUUUUUUUGCCUGUUUUCACUCAAAUGUGACAAAAACAUCCCAGAAUAAAUUAAACAUAAACUGUAAACACAUGGUCUGCAGCUGCGCUCUGAUUGGCUCAGCAGGGCGUCACGUGACCUGGACGGCGAGGCCAGGUUGCCGUGGUUACGGCUGACUCGGUGUGAAGCAGAGCUCAGAGGGGAGUUCCCGACAAAUCGAACACAGCUGUGAUCAGGGAGACGAACCUGCAGCUCAAAAAUGCAACUUUUCCCAAGUUUAUCGCCUUUUUCUCACAUUUAGACCGAAAAUAACAGAAGAGAGUCAAAAGACUCUAAAAACUUAUCACCUCUACAACUGGAACAUACACAAAAAUACACAAAACUACUGCACAAAUACACAAAACAACCACAGAAAUACACAAAACAACCACAAAGAGACACAAAAUGACCACAAAGAGACACAAAACAACCACAAAAAUACACAAAACUAGGAAUACACAAAACAACCAGAGACACAAAACAACCACUAAAAUACAGAAAACAACCAUAAAAAUACACAAACAACCAUAAAAAUAUGCAAAACAACCACAAACAUACACAAAAUAAGGACAAAGAUACACAAAACAAACACAAAUAUACAUAAAAUUAGGAAAAAGAUAAACAAAAUGACCAGAAAAACGAGCAACAUGACAACAAAGACGCAAAAUUACCACAAAAAGACGUAAAACAAACACGAAGAGACACACAACGAUCAUUAAACAAAUACGAAUGUCAACAAACAUGACAUGACCACCAAGGGAUGCAAGAUGACCACGAAAGAAUGAAAACAGACACAAAACGACCAAGAAGAGAAACAAAAUAACCACAAUAAGACCCAAAACAAUGACCAGCAUACACAAAAUAGGCAAAAAGAUACACAAAAUGACCAGAAAAACACACAAAAUGACCACAAAGACACAAAACAACCACAAAGACACACAGUUUUCUUCUGCACUUGAGGUUUCUGUUUUUAGCCGAGAGGUCAGACGUCAGCUAACUCCACCCGCCCCGGCUAACCCCACCCGCCCCGGCCCGGCUCACCUCCAGCAGGUAAAAGGAACCAAACGUACCUCCAGAGCAGCAGCUAGAGGCAGCAGCUCUUCUGGACGAGGAGAGAAACUCCUUCAGACACAAACAGCUGCAGCAGUGAGGUCAUCGACGACACACCCCUCUGAGCGCGCUCACUGGGAGCUGUGUGCGUGCGUGCGUGCGUGCGUGCGUGCGUGCGUGCGUGCGUGCGUGCGUGCGUGCGUGCGUGCGUGCGUGCGUGCGUGCGCGUGCUACCUUGUCGCUGUCGGCGGUGUUCUGCGAGGUCCGGGAGGCGAUGGAGACAGUGUCGGGUUGACUGCUGGCAUCACCCAGGCUGUCGGCAUCUUCACUGGUCUCCCUGAAAAUACAUAAACACUCAUAAAAAUAUAGAAGUAAAGUGUUUAUAAGAUGCAAAAAAUACUGAUAACUUUAUGUAAAAAUAUAAAGAAAAUGUCUUCUAAAAAAUGUUUGAACAUUAUGAAAAAAUAUUAUAAAUAAAAGCUA